rnacentral:rRNA from 1 species
CAGUAGCCACGGUAAUACGUAGGUGGCGAGCGUUGCCCGGAAUUAUUGGGCGUAAAGCGUGCGCAGGCGGUUGUGUAAGACAGGUGUGAAAUCCCCGGGCUUAACCUGGGAACUGCGCUUGUGACUGCACAGCUAGAGUAUGGCAGAGGGGGGUGGAAUUCCACGUGUAGCAGUGAAAUGCGUAGAGAUGUGGAGGAACACCGAUGGCGAAGGCAGCCCCCUGGGCCAAUACUGACGCUCAUGCACGAAAGCGUGGGGAGCAAACAGGAUUAGAUACCCCAGUAGUCCCUGUCUCUUAUAC